rnacentral:rRNA from 1 species
GAUGAACGCUGACAGAAUGCUUAACACAUGCAAGUCAACUUGAACUUCGGUUUGGGUGGCGGACGGGUGAGUAACGCGUAAAGAACUUGCCUCACAGCUAGGGACAACAUUUGGAAACGAAUGCUAAUACCUGAUAUUAUGAUUUUAGGGCAUCCUAGAAUUAUGAAAGCUAUAUGCGCUGUGAGAGAGCUUUGCGUCCCAUUAGCUAGUUGGAGAGGUAACGGCUCACCAAGGCGAUGAUGGGUAGCCGGCCUGAGAGGGUGAACGGCCACAAGGGGACUGAGCCACGGCCCUUACUCCUACGGGAGGCAGCAGUGGGGAAUAUUGGACAAUGGACCAAGAGUCUGAUCCAGCAAUUCUGUGUGCACGAUGAAGUUUUUCGGAAUGUAAAGUGCUUUCAGUUGGGAAGAAAAAAAUGACGGUACCAACAGAAGAAGUGACGGCUAAAUACGUG